rnacentral:rRNA from 1 species
UACGUAGGGUGCGAGCGUUAAUCGGAAUUACUGGGCGUAAAGCGUGCGCAGGCGGUUUUGUAAGCCAGGUGUGAAAUCCCCGGGCUCAACCUGGGAAUGGCAUUUGGGACUGCAAGGCUGGAGUGUGGCAGAGGAGACUGGAAUUCCUGGUGUAGCAGUGAAAUGCGUAGAUAUCAGGAGGAAUACCGAUGGCGAAGGCAGGUCUCUGGGCUGACACUGACGCUCAUGCACGAAAGCUAGGGGAGCAAACAGG